rnacentral:rRNA from 1 species
UACGUAGGGUGCAAGCGUUGUCCGGAAUUAUUGGGCGUAAAGAGCUCGUAGGCGGUUUGUCGCGUCUGCCGUGAAAGUCCGGGGCUCAACUCCGGAUCUGCGGUGGGUACGGGCAGACUAGAGUGAUGUAGGGGAGACUGGAAUUCCUGGUGUAGCGGUGAAAUGCGCAGAUAUCUGGAGGAACACCGGUGGCGAAGGCGGCGUCCUGGACCAACACUGACACUGAUGAGCGAAAGCCAGGGGAGCAAACGGG